AUGUGGGCAGAGCCGCCGGGAUGCGGCAGAGAACAACACAGACCAACAUGUCUGACAGCGCAGAAACAAAAGCCGGCAGCAGUGAAGCGUUCAAACACACAGCGAACCGAUGAGGACUCAGAUCCGAUCUCUCUCGCUCUAUUAUCUCCUCCGAGGGUUACACGGAUCCACCUGCCGCCGCUCAGACACUCUGACUGGACAGGAAAUUACACACAGACUUUACAAACAGGCUGAUGUGGCGCCGAGAGGUCCGAGCUUUGGAAGAAAAACAAAGAGUGUGUUUGCAGUCGUCUUCCUCCCGAGACGAGCUGAAGGUUGAAGUUACAGUAAGAAGAGGAGAACCUCAGGAGGCUCCAUCAGGUGGAGAAUGAUCCGUUUUACAUAAUGAGAAGUGACAUUUAAACAAAAAGAAAAACUGCUGCUUCUCAACAGCAGUCACAGUUUAUGGAGGAUUUAAUAAAAUACAUGUUGCAUUGUUGUCAUGGUGAUGAUUUAUCUUGACCAGUCGCCUAAAUAUUUAAUGUGUACGCUACAAAAUACCUUUCAGAUCUGUUUGGAUUGUGUUCAGUUGCAAUGUUUUAAACAGUCCAACACGUGUUAUGUUCUCGGUGCCUCCUGGGUAGCGAUGUCACCAUAGAAAUGUAGCAGUCGAUACCAACAGCAGUAAAAAUACCACGAUUCUCCCAGUUCGAUGAAACAGAAACCAAACCAUAAAUCCUGUGUUCUUCCAACAUGCUCAACUUUAUUAACGGACAACGUCUCAGUGUGACUGUCACUAAACCGUACAUGAGGGGAGAUUGUCCACUCGUUUAUCGAUCUCGGAUACUAACUGGGAGUGAGAGAUGCUUUGCACAAUGUGGUGAGACAAGUUAGACCAUGGUGGGCCGCCACAGACUAUAAUUACUGGGAAAGGCUGCUUGUAGGCCGGUACAGACAGUACUGUAACUACAGUUACUAUUAUUAUUAUUGUCACUGCUCGUUGUCCCCCAUCCUCGCUGUUGUCGUCGUCAUCAUCUUCUUCAUGUUCAUCAUCAUCAGUCACUACUAUUGGUGUAGUUGUUGCUACUGUUGUUGCUGUGCACCUGUCUGUCUGUCUCUCUCUCUCUCUCUCUCUCUCUCUCUCUCUCUCUCUCUCACCCCAACUGGUCGAGACAGACGACCACCCACCUAGAGCCGAAGGAUCUGUCCUAGGUUUCUGCCUCUUAACAGGUUUUUCCUUGCCCUUGUCUCCAAGGUCUUGCUCAUGGUGGUACUGUUGGGUCUCUGUAAAUAAUGUUAUAAAGAGUUCGGUCUAGACCUGCUCUAUUUGAAAAGUGUCCUGAGAUAACUUCUGUUAUGAAUUGGUGCUAUACAAAUAAAAUUGAAUUGAAUUGAAUUGUAGGAAAACAAGUACUGCCACCUUUUCAGAGCUUUGGCAUCGACUUGAUACCGAAGUAUCGGUUGUCGUGACCUCCCUAGUUGCAGGUAAUGGGAUUUUUUGGGGGUCGAGAGGACAAAAAUUACUGUAUUUCCUCUAGACAAGGGAAAAUAACGUCUGUAUGAAUCCAGAUUCUGUUACUGUGUCGCCUGUUACUCUCUUCAAACCUUUUCACAUAUUUUUAGUGUUUAUCUGGAAUACGAGAUCGUUUGUGACCAGGUGAGCCGCCAUUGUUUCCUGAUACAGUCGAGUCUAAACUCCGCAGCUCAACUCGCAGUACAUCGCUGCUGCCUGCUCCGAAAAAACUGUCUUGGCCGAAGUUGCUGCUUCAAAACAAAACAUUGAUCCACAAACCAGC
rnacentral:lncRNA from 15 species